AAAAACGAAAAGUUUUGAGAAUUUUUGAAAGCAUGUGUGCUUGGCUGAUUGCUGGCACGCUGACGCUUUUGGGGUGCGCUAAAAAUAAAGACUGGCGGCAGCCAUUUCGACUGCUGUUGCCUGCUGUUGAGCGCGCACGUUUGUCGGCAAUCGAAGGGGGUGAGGGGGAGCGAGGUGUUUAGGAAAAUGCUGAAGGCGGCACAGCGCGAGUGUGGAAGAAUAUAUCUGUACAUACAUAUGCUGAAGGAACUGGAACACAGCGAAAAGCAUUUCGCCGCGAUUUCUACGAAAAUUUUCGUUAAAUUUCAUUUUAUUCUUGAAGCGCACGAAGUAAAAAAGAAAGAAAUUUCAUACAUAUAUACAAUUCAUUUAUAAGUUUAUAUAAGUACAUACAUGUAUAUGUGUGGUAUAAACACAACAACAGUUUCGUAAGAAUAUAAAUAGCACGCGAUUUGGACACAGGAAAAGUUUGAAAAAUAAAAUUUUGAAUAUCAAAACAAAUGUACGCUGCCGGGAAGAAAAUUCAUAAGCACAUUUUUUUGGCUGCCAUGCGGUUUCAAGCAUACCACACGAAGGGGUAUGGCUAAAAAGUGUGGGUUUGGCUGAGUGGCCAAUUGACUUCAAUUCAAUUUGUUAAAUAUACGGUUUAGUGGCAGUGCUAACCAAAUAAGUUACAGCUGAAGAUGCGCAGAGAACAACAAUGAAGUGAGCUACAAGAAAUGUGAAUGUUAACUGACCAAAAAAUAUUUGUUUGGAUAUUAAAUGAAAAAAUUAAUUAUUAUUAUUUUUUAAUUGAAUUUAAAAACUAAAUAUUUUUAUUUUAAUACAUGUUUAUUUAAAUCUAAAAAUUACAAACAAUUUUGUAAUUGAUUUUCUUUAUGAAACAAAUGCAACGAGUUUUGUUAUUUUUUAGAUUUAUAUUCAAUAUUAAUUGUAUUAAAUAUUUGUUGCUUAAUUUUUU